rnacentral:rRNA from 1 species
GACGAACGCUGGCGGCGUGCUUAACACAUGCAAGUCGAACGAAGUGGCGAACGGGUGAGUAACGAGUAAUCAACCUGCCCUUCAGAGGGGGACAACAGUUGGAAACGACUGCUAAUACGGCAUAAUGAAUGAUGGGAAUGCGUCUGAAUAGCUAGUUGGUGGGGGAACGGCCCACCAAGGCGAUGAUCAGUAGCCGGUCUGGGGGGAUGAACGGCCACAUUGGGACUUGGACACGGCCCAGACUCCUACGGGAGGCAGCAGUGGGGAAUCUUCCGCAAUGGACGAAAGUCUGACGGAGCAACGCCGCGUGAGUGAUGACGGCCUUCGGGUUGUAAAGCUCUGUUAAUCGGGACGCGGUACCGGAAUAGAAAGCCACGGCUAACUACGUGCCAGCAGCCGCGGUAAUAC